rnacentral:rRNA from 1 species
CGGCUACCACUUACAGAUGGACCCGCGGCGCAUUAGCUAGUUGGUGAGGUAACGGCUCACCAAGGCGACGAUGCGUAGCCGACCUGAGAGGGUGAUCGGCCACACUGGGACUGAGACACGGCCCAGACUCCUACGGGAGGCAGCAGUAGGGAAUCUUCCGCAAUGGACGAAAGUCUGACGGAGCAACGCCGCGUGAGUGAUGAAGGUUUUCGGAUCGUAAAGCUCUGUUGUUAGGGAAGAACAAGUGCCGUUCAAAUAGGGCGGCACCUUGACGGUACCUAACCAGAAAGCCACGGCUAACUACGUGCCAGCAGCCGCGGUAAUACGUAGGUGGCAAGCGUUGUCCGGAAUUAUUGGGCGUAAAGGGCUCGCAGGCGGUUUUCUUAAGUCUGAUGUG